GACAGAGGGUGCAAACGUUGUUCGGAAUUACUGGGCGUAAAGCGCGUGUAGGCGGCCAGAUAAGUCCGCUGUGAAAACUCGAGGCUCAACUUCGAGCUGUCGGUGGAAACUUUCUGGCUAGAGUCCGGAAGAGGAGAAUGGAAUUCCUGGUGUAGCGGUGAAAUGCGCAGAUAUCAGGAAGAACACCCGUGGCGAAGGCGGUUCUCUGGGACGGUACUGACACUGAGGAGCGAAAGCGUGGGGAGCGAACAGG
rnacentral:rRNA from 1 species